AAACGCCCACCCAGGGCGGUGAUCAUGCCGGGUUGAAGGAUCUUUGGCCCCCAAGGGGAUGGGACCCGGCCCCUUCUUCUUAGGGGAGGCAGCAGUGGGAAUCUUCCACAAUGGGCGCAAGCCUGAUGGAGCAACACCGCGUGAGUGAAGAAGGGUUUCGGCUCGUAAAGCUCUGUUGUUAAAGAAGAACACGUAUGAGAGUAACUGUUCAUACGUUGACGGUAUUUAACCAGAAAGUCACGGCUAACUACGUGCCAGCAGCCGCGGUAAUACGUAGGUGGCAAGCGUUAUCCGGAUUUAUUGGGCGUAAAGAGAGUGCAGGCGGUUUUCUAAGUCUGAUGUGAAAGCCUUCGGCUUAACCGGAGAAGUGCAUCGGAAACUGGAUAACUUGAGUGCAGAAGAGGGUAGUGGAACUCCAUGUGUAGCGGUGGAAUGCGUAGAUAUAUGGAAGAACACCAGUGGCGAAGGCGGCUACCUGGUCUGCAACUGACGCUGAGACUCGAAAGCAUGGGUAGCGAACAGGAUUAGAUACCCUGGUAGUCCAUGCCGUAAACGAUGAGUGCUAGGUGUUGGAGGGUUUCCGCCCUUCAGUGCCGGAGCUAACGCAUUAAGCACUCCGCCUGGGGAGUACGACCGCAAGGUUGAAACUCAAAGGAAUUGACGGGGGCCCGCACAAGCGGUGGAGCAUGUGGUUUAAUUCGAAGCUACGCGAAGAACCUUACCAGGUCUUGACAUCUUGCGCCAACCCUAGAGAUAGGGCGUUUCCUUCGGGAACGCAAUGACAGGUGGUGCAUGGUCGUCGUCAGCUCGUGUCGUGAGAUGUUGGGUUAAGUCCCGCAACGAGCGCAACCCUUGUUACUAGUUGCCAGCAUUAAGUUGGGCACUCUAGUGAGACUGCCGGUGACAAACCGGAGGAAGGUGGGGACGACGUCAGAUCAUCAUGCCCCUUAUGACCUGGGCUACACACGUGCUACAAUGGACGGUACAACGAGUCGCGAACUCGCGAGGGCAAGCAAAUCUCUUAAAACCGUUCUCAGUUCGGACUGCAGGCUGCAACUCGCCUGCACGAAGUCGGAAUCGCUAGUAAUCGCGGAUCAGCAUGCCGCGGUGAAUACGUUCCCGGGCCUUGUACACACCGCCCGUCACACCAUGAGGAGUUUGUAACACCCAAAAGUCGGUGGGGUAACCUUUUAGGAGCCAGCCGCUAAGUGACAGAUG
rnacentral:rRNA from 1 species